AGCGGGCCGGACGGCCGCGUAUGGCGGAGUGCAUCGCACGGCGCCGUGCGAGGAAAGUCCGGGCUCCCCAGGGCAAGAUGCCAGCUAACGGCUGGACGGGGCAACCCGAUGGAAAGUGCCACAGAAAAGAAGACUCCCGGCCCCAAUCGUUCCCCGAGAACUGGUUGACUGAGGCGCAUUCGGUGGAGCAGAUGGGCGUGAAAGGCGAGCGAGCGGCCUAUAUGCGCCGUGAGCGAGGCUUGAACGCUCAGAUGCCCACCGAGGCGUCUCAGGGCUGGGAAAAGCUGAAACGGUGUGGUAAAAGCGCACCAGUGCGCCGGCAACGGCGCAGCUUGGCAAACCCCAUCUGGAGCAAACGCAAAUAGGGACGCCAUACGGCCGCCCUGCCGUGCGUCCGGGUUGCGCGCUAGAGGCCGCAGGCGACUGCGGUUCGAGAUAAAUGGCCGUCCUCGACAGAACCCGGCUUACAGGCCCGCUUC
rnacentral:RNase_P_RNA from 1 species